rnacentral:rRNA from 1 species
GUGGGGAAUAUUGCACAAUGGGCGCAAGCCUGAUGCAGCCAUGCCGCGUGUGUGAAGAAGGCCUUCGGGUUGUAAAGCACUUUCAGCGGGGAGGAAGGCGGUGAGGUUAAUAACCUCACCGAUUGACGUUACCCGCAGAAGAAGCACCGGCUAACUCCGUGCCAGCAGCCGCGGUAAUACGGAGGGUGCAAGCGUUAAUCGGAAUUACUGGGCGUAAAGCGCACGCAGGCGGUCUGUCAAGUCGGAUGUGAAAUCCCCGGGCUCAACCUGGGAACUGCAUUCGAAACUGGCAGGCUAGAGUCUUGUAGAGGGGGGUAGAAUUCCAGGUGUAGCGGUGAAAUGCGUAGAGAUCUGGAGGAAUACCGGUGGCGAAGGCGGCCCCCUGGACAAAGACUGACGCUCAGGUGCGAAAGCGUGGGGAGCAAACAGGAUUAGAUACCCGAGUAGUCC